CCAGACUCCUACGGGAGGCAGCAGUGGGGGAUAUUGGACAAUGGGGGGAACCCUGAUCCAGCGACGCCGCGUGAGUGAAGAAGUAUCUCGGUAUGUAAAGCUCUAUCAGCAGGGAAGAAAGAAAUGACGGUACCUGAGUAAGAAGCCCCGGCUAACUACGUGCCAGCAGCCGCGGUAAUACGUAGGGGGCAAGCGUUAUCCGGAUUUACUGGGUGUAAAGGGAGCGUAGACGGCAGUGCAAGUCUGAAGUGAAAGCCCCGGGCUUAACCCGGGAAUUGCUUUGGAAACUGUACGGCUGGAGUGCUGGAGAGGUAAGCGGAAUUCCUAGUGUAGCGGUGAAAUGCGUAGAUAUUAGGAGGAACACCAGUGGCGAAGGCGGCUUACUGGACAGUAACUGACGUUGAGGCUCGAAAGCGUGGGGAGCAAACAGGAUUAGAUACCCCGGUA
rnacentral:rRNA from 1 species